AAAAAAGUGCCGGAUUAAGGGAUUAUUCUGAUAGGAAAAAUUAAGUAAUAAAAUUUAUUACCUUUAUUA
rnacentral:tRNA from 1 species